rnacentral:rRNA from 1 species
CCCUUAGAUGUUCUGGGCCGCACGCGCGCUACACUGAUGCAUUCAACGAGUCUAAAACCUGCUCUGAUAGGGGUGGGUAAUCUUUUGAAUGUGCAUCGUGAUUGGGAUAGAUGAUUGCAAUUUUUCAUCUUCAACGAGGAAUGCCUAGUAAACGCAAGUCAUCAGCUUGCAUUGAUUACGUCCCUGCCCUUCGUACACACCGCCCGUCGCUCCUACCGAUUGAAUGAUCCGAUGAAUAUCAUGGAUUGAGGAUGCAAGUAGGUUAGCCUAUCUUCAUCUUCGAGAAGUGAAGUAAAUCUUAUCAUUUAGAGGAAGGAGAAGUCGUAACA